rnacentral:lncRNA from 1 species
GGCCCCGCCCACGUCAUGGCGCCUGAGGAGAACGCGGGUACCAAACUCUUGCUGCAGAGUUUCGAGCGCCGCUUCCUAGCGGCGCGCACACUGCGCUCCUUCCCCUGGCAGGUGGGCGGCGGGGCGAGCGGAGAGGCCUGCGGGGCUUGCGGAAGUCCAGGGGCAGACGGGAUGGGUCUCCCUGCUGAAACCCCCGGCGCUCCUGCCACGCCCUCCCAUCCAGGUUGCCCUACCAAGUGAAAUUUUUUUUAGAGACAAGGUCUCUUGCCCAGGCUGUCCUCGAACUCCUGGGCUCAAGCAGUCCUCCCGUGUCAGCCUCUAGAUUAGCUGGGACUAUUCGGCACACACCACCACACCCAACGAACACGAGGCUGUCCACACGGAGCUUUUGGACGAGCUGUACGAGGCGCUGGCAGAGACCCUGAUGGCCAAGGAGUCCACCCAGGGCCACUGGAGCUAUUUGCUGCCCUCGGAAGGCUCGGUCACACUCUCCGAGCACAGCCAUCAUCUCCCACGGUACCACAGGCCUGGUCACAUGGGACGCUGCCCGCUACCUUGCAGAAUGGGCCAUCAAGAACCUGGCAGCCUUCACUAACAGGUGACCUCGGGGCACAGGGCAGCCGCCAUCUACCUUGCAGAAUGGGUCAUUGAGAACCUGGCAGCCUUCACUAACAGGACUGUCCUAGAGCUUGGCAGUGGCGCCGGCCUUACAGGCCUGUCCAUCUGCAAGAUGUGCCACCCCCGGACAUACAUCUUCAGCGACUGUCACAGCCGGGUCCUCGAGCAGCUCCGAGGGAAUGUCCUUCUCAAUGGCCUCUCAUUAGAGGCAGACAUCACUGCCAACUUAGAUAGCCCCAGGGUGACAGUGGCCCAGCUGGACUGGGAUGUAGCGACGGUCCAUCAGCUCUCUGCCUUCCAGCCAGAUGUUGUCAUUACAGCAGACGUGCUGUAUUGCCCAGAAGCCAUCGUGUCCCUGGUCGGGGUCCUGCGGAGGCUGGCUGCCUGCUGGGAGCACCAGCGGGCUCCUGAGGUCUACAUGGCCUUUACCGUCCGCAACCCAGAGACGUGCCAGGUGUUCACCACCGAGCUAGGCUGGGCUGGGAUCAGAUGGGAAGCGGAAGCUCAUCAUGACCAGAAACUGUUUCCCUAUGGAGAGCACUUGGAGAUGGCAAUGCUGAACCUCACACUGUAGGACUCAUACACGACUCCAACGGGAUUGUUAGAAUCAAAUCACUCUCGUGGGAAGAAUUUUUAUAUGGGAAAGCGGAUAAAACUUUCAUUGGACUGGAAUGUUUGGAGAAUGUUAAAUUCCAAAUCAGGAACCACAAUCUGCCCUCUAAUAAGACAUCGGCUAUCUAAGCAUGUGGGUGCCCCCUUUCUGCCAGCAGUUCUGGUUCUUAAGAAAAUCACCAUAAAUCAGACAUGAAAAUUCUGGCUCCAAAAAUAGCAUUUUCUUUGUGCAAAUAAAAACGUGUGUAUCAAGUA